rnacentral:lncRNA from 1 species
UUGCAGACACACUGCCUCUUCUUUAUUUUCGCCCUUUCCCCAGCUCAGGUCCUCGCUGGAAGCGAGUGCUCCUCCUCAGGCCGCGGCUUCCAGAAGUAGCUUCGGAAUCCCGGCUCGAGCUGGGCGGGAAGGCGCGGUGGCCCGCGUCGCCCGCAUGCUCCCGCGCCCUCCCUGCCUGGCCGCGCCCCUGCGACCAGGUGAUCCAAUGACAACAGAAAAUGAAAGGCAUUAAGGAAAACGCUGUGGAAUCUCUGUACCUGGAGUACUCUCACCAAAUAGAAGGGUGCAUCUUUCCUCUCCACACAUCUGUAACUUUGUUUUUACUGUCGUACUGUGAAUGCAAGGUCUUUAACGUUUACCUAGUCCCUACUGAAGAAGGUGCAGACACUU